rnacentral:rRNA from 1 species
GACGAACGCUGGCGGCGUGCUUAACACAUGCAAGUCGAACGGAAAGGCCCUGCUUGCAGGGUACUCGAGUGGCGAACGGGUGAGUAACACGUGGGUGAUCUGCCCUGCACUUCGGGAUAAGCCUGGGAAACUGGGUCUAAUACCGGAUAGGAGCCAUUUUUAGUGUGAUGGUUGGAAAGUUUUUUCGGUGUAGGAUGAGCUCGCGGCCUAUCAGCUUGUUGGUGGGGUAAUGGCCUACCAAGCCGGCGACGGGUAGCCGGCCUGAGAGGGUGGACGGCCACAUUGGGACUGAGAUACGGCCCAGACUCCUACGGGAGGCAGCAGUGGGGAAUAUUGCACAAUGGGCGCAAGCCUGAUGCAGCGACGCCGCGUGGGGGAUGACGGCCUUCGGGUUGUAAACUCCUUUCGCUAGGGACGAAGCUUUUUGUGACGGUACCUAGAGAAGAAGCACCGGCUAACUACGUG